rnacentral:lncRNA from 1 species
UGCUGGGUAUUAUUAGGAGUAAUAUGGAAUAAAAGAAGAGCUGGAAAAGAGCUGGAAAAAUAGAGUAAAUUUGAUCAAAAAAAAAAGAAAAAGAAAAAUAGAGUAAAUUGUUUUCCUCUAACUAAAGUCAAAGUAAAAUUGUGUGUAUGUUUUUUCUUUUUAGAAUAAUAACUAGAGUAAAUAAGUGAAAUAGUAUUUCACUUGAUUGAUAUUUUUUCAAUGGAAUUUGGAGUAAUAUAAAUUUUGGAGUAAACAAUUAUUCUAUAAUGAUCUUGAUUUUUCAACAAAUAAAUAAACACACGCUUUCCAUAUAGAACUUUCAGAUCACUUUAAGUAAGUACUCGGUAAACAAUUAAACAUGGCUUAGUACUUAAAACUAGUUUACCACGGAAUGGACUUUGAGUAUAUAUUAGAAAGAAAAAAAAUAUCUUAAUUUACUAAUUUUGUGUGCAGCUAAAUAACAUUGGACUAUUGACAUUUGAAGCAAAGUCAAAUGAGAAAUGGAGUUAGGCGAGUUAAAGACGCUGCUUUAGGAUUUUACCACAUUUUGUCUUAAGAUUGAGGAGUAGUCAAAGAGACGUCUUUCCUUUGUCCAUCACUACGACUGAUAUAUAUUUACACAAACGGUAAGACAUUUUGAGUUAUUUUCAACAACAUUUUAUCGUACUUUUUUCUUUUGUUGAACAUUUUAUCGUGCGUUGGGAUUAAUAAAGCUAUGUACGUAAAUGUAUGAAGAAUAAUACAACAAAUGUUUUGUUGCUAAAACUUGCCGUAAGAUAAUAAUAAUACUUUCAGUGUUUGCCGUAAAAAGUACGUGCAAUCUCG